UACGUAGGGGGCUAGCGUUGUCCGGAAUCAUUGGGCGUAAAGAGCGCGUAGGCGGCCAGAUAAGUCCGGUGUGAAAGUCAAAGGCUCAACCUUUGAAUGCCGCUGGAAACUGUCUGGCUAGAGUCCGGAAGGGGCGAGUGGAAUUCCUGGUGUAGCGGUGAAAUGCGCAGAUAUCAGGAGGAACACCAGCGGCGAAGGCGGCGCUCUGGGCCGGUACUGACACUGAGGAGCGAAAGCGUGGGGAUCAAACAGG
rnacentral:rRNA from 1 species